AGCGUGUUAGCUUAACUGGUUAAGCAUUGUGUUUCGGCCACAGGGAUUGUAAGUUCGAGUCUUACACGCGUUA
rnacentral:tRNA from 1 species